rnacentral:rRNA from 1 species
UUCUUUAUCACCGAGUGCUUGCACUCACCGAUAAAGAGUUGAGUGGCGAACGGGUGAGUAACACGUGGGCAACCUGCCCAAAAGAGGGGGAUAACACUUGGAAACAGGUGCUAAUACCGCAUAACCAUAGUUACCGCAUGGUAACUAUGUAAAAGGUGGCUAUACUACCGCUUUUGGAUGGGCCCGCGGCGCAUUAGCUAGUUGGUAGGGUAAAGGCUUACCAAGGCAAUGAUGCGUAGCCGAAUUGAGAGGUUGAUCGGCCACAUUGGGACUGAGACACGGCCCAAACUCCUACGGGAGGCAGCAGUAGGGAAUCUUCCACAAUGGGCGAAAGCCUGAUGGAGCAACGCCGCGUGGGUGAAGAAGGUCUUCGGAUCGUAAAACCCUGUUGUUAGAGAAGAAAGUGCGUGAGAGUAACUGUUCACGUUUCGACGGUAUCUAACCAGAAAGCCACGGCUAACUACGUGCCAGCAGCCGCGGUAAUACGUAGGUGGCAAGCGUUAUCCGGAUUUAUUGGGCGUAAAGGGAACGCAGGCGGUCUUUUAAGUCUGAUGUGAAAGCCUUCGGCUUAACCGGAGUAGUGCAUUGGAAACUGGGAGACUUGAGUGCAGAAGAGGAGAGUGGAACUCCAUGUGUAGCGGUGAAAUGCGUAGAUAUAUGGAAGAACACCAGUGGCGAAAGCGGCUCUCUGGUCUGUAACUGACGCUGAGGUUCGAAAGCGUGGGUAGCAAACAGGAUUAGAUACCCUGGUAG